CCUCUGUGAUCUCACAGAAGGGGUCACUGUUAUGGUUAUGGGUGUACCCUAGCUCUGAGGGCAGCAGAGUCCAUGAUAGAAGGUGGCAGAGUCCUUUCUAGGUUUGCCGUCCCCCUCACAUCCACGAAUAACUGGGUCCCACUGGAUGGGACAAUACAUGCCAUGUAGAAUGUAACACCAUGUUUCUACAGUUGAAAGAAGCGUUUAUCACUAAAUCUCUACAAAGCAGAAGGCAAAGAUAACCAGAAAUUCAUAAACAAAAACUUUCACAAGCAAAUA